UUCGAACCAGCCGCUGCAAGUUCCGCAAGGAUUUAAAGAGAAAUCGGUGAGAAUCCGGUACGAUCCCGUCACUGUAUGAGGGAGCUUCGAAGCAGAAUGCCACUGGGAGACGCCUGUCUGCCGGCAGAGAUGCCUGGGAGCGGAAGGAAGGCCUGGGAAGGCGCUUUGAAGCGGUGAGCUUAAGUCAGGAGAACUGCUUGCAGGCGCUUCAGGUG
rnacentral:ncRNA from 2 species